ACUCCUACGGGAGGCAGCAGUGGGGAAUAUUGCACAAUGGGGAAACCCUGAUGCAGCCAUGCCGCGUGUGUGAAGAAGGCCUUCGGUUGUAAAGCACUUUCAGUAGGGAGGAAGGUAGUGUAGUUAACACCUGCAUUAUUUGACGUUACCUACAGAAGAAGCACCGGCUAACUCCGUGCCAGCAGCCGCGGUAAUACGGAGGGUGCGAGCGUUAAUCGGAAUUACUGGGCGUAAAGCGCAUGCAGGCGGCCUGUUAAGUCAGAUGUGAAAGCCCGGGGCUUAACCUCGGAAUUGCAUUUGAAACUGGCAGGCUAGAGUCUUGUAGAGGGGGGUAGAAUUUCAGGUGUAGCGGUGAAAUGCGUAGAGAUCUGAAGGAAUACCAGUGGCGAA
rnacentral:rRNA from 1 species